AGUGCUGAGAUAGCUGUGAAUACGGUGCCCAGUAGAGUCUUGGUGCUGAGUGCUCCAAUGCAAGUUUAUUAGUUAGUCGGUAUCGCGAAACACACAGUCACCGUCAUUCAAAGGAUUUGCGGCCUCAAUCGGAUUUCAACGCGCUCUUCUGUUUGCUUCCAUUCAGUAUGUAGUUGUGAAUGUAGAAGUUGGCAAACAUCAGGAUGAAGGUCGUGGAAAUGAACAUGCCAGUAUAUAUCACAGUUCGGGAGGCAUUGCAAUCGGGCUGCAUCAGGGUGUAGCUAAAGUUCGCCAGCACCAGGAUGAACUGGACCAGCUGGACAAUGGUGAUGUACUUCUUCCACCGACUCGUCUGCACAUCCUUGCUGACGGAGGACAGGUAGUAGUAGGCGUACAUGAUCACAUGGACCGCCACAUUGAGCAGGCAUAAUGGGAACAGAGUGCCUCCAUAGCCGUUGAAGGUAAUGUGCAGGUAUCCGCCAAAGGACAUCACCAGGUGGUGGAAGACGUGCAGGAAGGAUAUCUGGCGAUCCUUCUUGCGCAGCACAAAGAACACAGUCUCCAGCAGAUCCAUGAACUUGUUGAAGAAGUACGAGUAGGUCAACCAUCUUUCUCGGCUCUUCAGCUCGUGAUCCAGCGGCAGUUUGGUGAUGCAUCGCAGGUCGUAGGCCUUCAGGACGAACAAAAAGUGAAGACCCUGGAAGCAAAGGAUGUGCUUGACCACAGGAAAAUCCAUUUGCUCAGUUUUUUCGUCGGCCUGAAUCCGAAAUGCGAAAACUGGCACUGGCACUGGCGGCCGCCUGAAUAAUGAAGGCAAAUCGGAAAAGAGGCAAAACAGCAAAAAGUUAAAUGCCUCUAAUGACAGAAAAUGAAGCAAAUGACGAAAAAUUGCGCAAAACAAAGGAGACAAAUAAUAAUAUGCGAAAAUGGUUGACUCGGACGCUUCCACCCACCGGAGGCCACCGACCACCGCCCACUUGAGGCCACCCACAUUCACGUUCACAUCCUCGAGAGCUCAAAGGAGAGGAGAGCACGCACCAGCGAAGAUAGGAAGGUAACCGUGGGGGCCAAGUGAAUUACCAACAACGGGCGAAUCAAGAAAAGCAUGUGCGCGGCAUAAUUACGAAGCAAUUAGACGAAAUUAUUAUUGAGGUCAGCGGCGAGGAGAUGCCGGGGAGUACAGGACACCAGACCCCCCGAGAACAUAUGGCCAUAGUCAACCCACCCACCCCCCUUUUCGGUGGCGUCGGACCAAAGGGAUGCGUAUGCCAUUAUCAUUCACGCCGGGUGAGGGAAUGUAAAGGAAGUAGAACCUCUAAAUGGGCACCACAAAGCGCAGACCAAAACAACACUCGUAACUACAAGCUGGUUUAAGUGGCGAAAACCGGAAAAAAAUUACGGAAAACGACGAGUGGACGAGGACACAACGAAUAGGUCGAGAAAAACUAUAAACAAAUGAUUAACAAAUCAUCUUAGGGCAGCUGUAUGGCCCAUGUUUCAACUAUAAAAGUGAACGAAUAAAGUAAAAUCUAAGAUUAACUCUUUUCAAUUUGUUUGUAUAUUGAGAGUGUCAAAUACGGUGCUACACAAUUAAAUUGAAAC
ensembl:ncRNA asRNA:CR44035 antisense RNA:CR44035